rnacentral:rRNA from 1 species
AGUGAACGCUGGCGGUAGGCCUAACACAUGCAAGUCGAACGGCAGCACAGUAAGAGCUUGCUCUUACGGGUGGCGAGUGGCGGACGGGUGAGGAAUACAUCGGAAUCUACUUUUUCGUGGGGGAUAACGUAGGGAAACUUACGCUAAUACCGCAUACGACCUACGGGUGAAAGCAGGGGAUCUUCGGACCUUGCGCGAUUGAAUGAGUCGAUGUCGGAUUAGCUAGUUGGCGGGGUAAAGGCCCACCAAGGCGACCAUCCGUAGCUGGUCUGAGAGGAUGAUCAGCCACACUGGAACUGAGACACGGUCCAGACUCCUACGGGAGGCAGCAGUGGGGAAUAUUGGACAAAGGGCGCAAGCCUGAUCCAGCCAUACCGCGUGGGUGAGGAAGGCCUUCGGGUUGUAAAGCCCUUUUGUUGGGAAAGAAAAGCAGCAGGUUAAUACCCCGCUGUUCUGACGGUACCCAAAGAAUAAGCACCGGCUAACUUCGUG